GUUCUGUAGAUGUCUAUUAGGUCUGCUUGGUGCAGAGCUGAGUUCAAUUCCUUGGUAUCCUUGUUAACUUUCUGUCUCGUUGAUCUGUCUAAUGUUGACAGUGGGGUGUUAAAGUCUCCCAUUUUUAUUGUGUGGGAGUCUAAGUCUCUUUGUAGGUCACUCAAGACUUGCUUUAUGAAUCUGGGUGCUCCUGUAUUGGGUGUAUAUAUAUUUAGGAUAGUUAGCUCUUCUUGUUGAAUUGAUCCCUUUACCAUCAUGUAAUGGCCUUCUUUGUCUCUUUUGAUGUUUGUUGGUUUAAAGUCUGUUUUAUCAGAGACUAGGAUUGCAACCCCUGCCUUUUUUUGUUUUCCAUUUGCUUGGUAGAUCUUCCUCCAUCCUUUUAUUUUGAGCCUGUGUGUGUCUCUGCAGGUGAGAUGGGUUUCCUGAAUACAGCACACUGAUGGGUCUUGACUCUUUAUCCAAUUUGCCAGUCUGUGUCUUUUAAUUGGAGCAUUUAGCCCAUUUACAUUUAAAGUUAAUAUUGUUAUGUGUGAAUUUGAUCCUGUCAUUAUGAUGUUAGCUGGUUAUUUUGCUCGUUAGUUGGUGCAGUUUCUUCCUAGCCUCGAUGGUCUUUACAAUUUGGCAUGAUUUUGCAGUGGCUGGUACCGGUUGUUCCUUUCCAUGUUUAGUGCUUCCUUCAGGAGCUCUUUUAGGGCAGGCCUGGUGGUGACAAAAUCUCUCAGCAUUUGCUUGUCUGUAAAAAUUUUAUUUCUCCUUCACUUAUGAAGCUUAGUUUGGCUGGAUAUGAGAUUCUGGGUUGAAAGUUCUUUUCUUUAAGAAGGUUGAAUAUUGACCCCUCACUCACUUCUGGUUUGUAGGGUUUCUG
rnacentral:lncRNA from 1 species